rnacentral:rRNA from 1 species
GACGAACGCUGGCGGCGUGCUUAACACAUGCAAGUCGAACGAUGAAGCCGGAGCUUGCUCUGGUGAAUUAGUGGCGAACGGGUGAGUAACACGUGAGUAACCUGCCCUUGACUCUGGGAUAACUGCUAGAAAUGGUAGCUAAUACCGGAUACGACCCUCGGAGGCAUCUCCAGGGGGUGGAAAGAAUUUCGGUCAAGGAUGGACUCGCGGCCUAUCAGCUAGUUGGUGAGGUAACGGGUCACCAAGGCGACGGCGGGUAGCCGGCCUGAGGGGGUGACCGGCCACACUGGGCCUGAGACACGGCCCAGACUCCUACGGGAGGCAGCAGUGGGGAAUAUUGCACAAUGGGCGCAAGCCUGAUGCAGCAACGCCGCGUGAGGGAUGACGGCCUUCGGGUUGUAAACCUCUUUUAGUAGGGAAGAAGCGAAAGUGACGGUACCUGCAGAAAAAGCACCGGCUAACUACGUGCCAGCAGCCGCCGUAA